rnacentral:rRNA from 1 species
GAUUGACAGAUAUAUAUACACCGUCGGUACUUGUAUCGCGGUGUUGAAAGAUGCUAGUUCUUUCAUGAUUAUGUGAUAGGUGGUGCAUGGCCGUUCUUAGUUCGUGGAGUGAUCUGUCUGCUUAAUUGCGUAUCAUAAAAAGAGACCUAGUAUACGCGUAAGAUAUCGUUUACGGUUCGUGACCCCCUUCGGGCGUGUGUCGCACGUACGUAUCAUACGCACUGGUCUCCGAUAGCAACGAACGUGACCGUACUCUAUUGUUGCAGCGAAUGUAUGCAUCUUCGGGUGUAUCUACCGCUGCUUAGCAUAUUUCAUGC